rnacentral:rRNA from 1 species
UGUGGAAUUUUGCGCAAUGGGGGAAAGUGUGNCGNNGCAACACCGCGUGAUNGAUGAAGCUUCUAGGAGUGUAAAGAUCUGUUGUGAGGGAAGAAAAANCCGGAUUUAAAUAAUGUUNGGAUGUGACGGUACCUCACAAAAAAGCNCCGGCUAAAUUCGUGCCAGCAGCCGCGGUAAUACGAGGGGUGCCAGCGUUUUCCGGAAUUACUGGGCGUAAAGGGUCCGUAGGCGUNUUUCNAAGUUGAUUGUUAAAUCCCCCGGCUCAACCGGUGGUNUGCGAUCAAAACUGGCCGGAUUGANUUUGUGAGAGGAANGUGGAAUUCCUGGUGUAGCGGUGACAUGCGUAGAUAUCAGGAGGAACACCNAUGGNGAAGGCAGCNUUCUGGCACNAUAUUGACGCUGAGGGACGAAAGCGUGGGGAGCGAACAGGAUUAGAUACCCUGGUAGUCCACGCCGUAAACGAUGAGUACUUGGUGUGUGGGGGAUUCGACCCCUUCAGUGUCGCAGCUAACGCGUUAAGUAUCCGCCUG